CUCUGUUUAGCUUCCGCAACUUCUUGGGCAAAGGCGGCACGCAUCCAGCAAAAAAAAAAACGAUUCUAGUUGCCUUGGCGGCCCCCACACUCCGGCCCGACAUCAUGUGAGGGGGUUAAAUCAGGGUACACAGUAGCCCGUUAACCCACUGACUUGCAUUUUGUUGGAAAUGAAGUUGGCAGUGUAGUACUAGUUGUUAACGGUAAAAAUGAGGUCUUUAAUAGAGGUUUGUUGAUAGGAUGUACUUUACUGAAAAUUGAAAAUUCGGUACUGAGAGAAAACCUAUAUAUUUACUUUACUAAAAUUUUCGGUAUGUUGAAUUUUUGUAUACCAUAAUUUCGAUAAGUAUCGACAUUGUAGCGUAUUUUCUAUA